UUCUGGUAGCAAUUCCUCUGGCUGGGUUGGCAUAGUAAGAGGGUGGGAAGCUGGUGAGGGAUCAUCUGACUUUUUGCUGAGCUAGCAAGUCCUUCUGGCAGGUUGAGUUGUGGGUAAGAAAAUGUUUUGUGUUGCACAGCAACAGCAAGAGCAUAAGUUCCUCUGAAUGGCAACAUGAAAACCAGGUCCGUGGAGGACUGCAGAGUCAUUUUGCUUAAUGGUUGACACAGGAGUUUGAGAGGUCCAAACAUGAGACAUACUUGACAUUCAAACUGCGUCAGUACUAUCUUGGAAACUCGU